UAGGGAAUCUUCGGCAAUGGACGAAAGUCUGACCGAGCAACGCCGCGUGAGUGAAGAAGGUUUUCGGAUCGUAAAACUCUGUUGGUAGAGAAGAACGUUGGUGAGAGUGGAAAGCUCAUCAAGUGACGGUAACUACCCAGAAAGGGACGGCUAAAUACGUGCCAG
rnacentral:rRNA from 1 species